GCCAGGUCACAUGCUAACUGUAUACAAGGUGUGUAUCUUUAGAUAUAUAAAUAGCGAAUAUCGCGAAUGUUAACAAUCCGACGUAAUAUCAGACUAGCGAACUUUUCUCUUCUAAUUGCGUUGUUGAUGGAAUAUGGAGGGUACUCGGCAAUGAACUAUACACGGGUAUUCGUUGUGAUAUUGGUUGUCAUAGCGAUGUGCAGCCAGGUGUUUGCAAUUAAUUCCCACAGUAACACUAAUGGGGCAAACAUUCUCGACAUUGUCAAAGAGAAAUGCAAACAACUCUGUACACAUGCUGGAACCUGUCCUCCCGAAUGUGCGGAGGAGUUUCUGGACCCUUGGUCAAGGUGAAGAGAAAACUGUCCGAUGAGAUCUGAAAAUUUCAUUUUUGUAUAUGUCGAUCGUCUUAUAUUCUUGUUUUAAUACACACGGUUCUAUUACUGUUUUAAUAAAAAAUAUUUGAAGAUUGGAUGCUUUUGUACACUAGUAUAGUUAUUUCAGAAUUACAAAUGUUCUUGUUAAUUGGAUAUCUUUUAUUUUUUCUUUCACUAACACGUAUCGUAUGCAACAUUAAACGAACAACCCCAUCCGCUA